rnacentral:rRNA from 1 species
UUUGAUGGGGUCGACCGGCGCACGGGUGAGUAACGCGUAUCCAACCUGCCCACCACUUGGGGAUAACCUUUGCGAAAGUAAGACUAAUACCCAAUGAUAUCUCUAGAAGACAUCUGAAAGAGAUUAAAGAUUUAUCGGUGAUGGAUGGGGAUGCGUCUGAUUAGCUUGUUGGCGGGGUAACGGCCCACCAAGGCGACGAUCAGUAGGGGUUCUGAGAGGAAGGUCCCCCACAUUGGAACUGAGACACGGUCCAAACUCCUACGGGAGGCAGCAGUGAGGAAUAUUGGUCAAUGGGCGAGAGUCUGAACCAGCCAAGUAGCGUGCAGGAUGACGGCCCUAUGGGUUGUAAACUGCUUUUAUAAGGGAAUAAAGUGAGUCUCGUGAGACUUUUUGCAUGUACCUUAUGAAUAAGGACCGGCUAAUUCCGUGCCAGCAGCCGCGGUAAUACGGAAGGUCCGGGCGUUAUCCGGAUUUAUUGGGUUUAAAGGGAGCGUAGGCCGGAGAUUAAGCGUGUUGUGAAAUGUAGACGCUCAACGUCUGCACUGCAGCGCGAACUGGUUUCCUUGAGUACGCACAAAGUGGGCGGAAUUCGUGGUGUAGCGGUGAAAUGCUUAGAUAUCACGAAGAACUCCGAUUGCGAAGGCAGCUCACUGGAGCGCAACUGACGCUGAAGCUCGAAAGUGCGGGUAUCGAACAGGAUUAGAUACCCUGGUAGUCCGCACGGUAAACGAUGGAUGCCCGCUGUUGGUCUGAACAGGUCAGCGGCCAAGCGAAAGCAUUAAGCAUCCCACCUGGGGAGUAC